GGUGUUUGCUUGGAUGUAUUCACAUACACACAUACAUACAUACUUAAACAGAUAUACAUACACAUUAACACAUAAACACGUAUAAACACACUGACACAUACACACACAUAGAGAUAUAUACACUGACUCUAAGAUACUCACACUGACCCAGAGAUAUGCAAACUGACACAGAGCUAUGCACACUGACUGACAUAUAUACACACACACACACACACACACACAAAUGCACACCUUGACACAUACACACACUUUGACAAAUGCACACACUGACACACAGAUACACACUGACAUGUAUACACCUUAACACAAAGAUGCACAUACUGAUACAUGCACAGACCUUGACCUACACACACAAAAUAUGACACACAUAGACACAUACAUGUAAUUUUAUAUUUGCAGCCACCCUCCUUUUAGCAUACAUGUUGUGUCCAGGAGGGAAACUUGCUUGGGGCCCUGCUUUUCCUGGAUGAGGCUGAUGGGAGUUAGAGUCUGCAGCAGCUCACUUCUUCCUCUCUUCUCCGAGCUACAUUUGCUGCUGCCGUCUCCUCCUCCCUCCCUCCAGCGUGGUACUCUCUCUUUAAAGCUGGGAGGAAGUGAUCAACUGUCACUUUCUCCCAGCAUUGGCCAUAUUACAGAGGCUUGGUCGCACUUUUAAAGGGUCCUGGCGCCUGACUGAGCCCCUUUAAUAUGACCAGUCCUGUUCAGCAAUAAUACUCAUUGGGUAGCCCCAAGUGCAUGGGCCACCCAAUAGCCCCCUGACCCUGUGGGCCCCG